rnacentral:rRNA from 1 species
GUCAGAGGUGCCAAGCGUUAGGCGGAAUCACUGGGCUUAAAGCGUGUGUAGGCGGAUCGUUAAGUACCUUGUGAAAUCCCACGGCUCAACCGUGGAACUGCUGGGUAUACUGGCGGUCUUGAGCCACCUAGGGGCAACUGGAACAAGCGGUGGAGCGGUGAAAUGCGUAGAUAUCUGGAGGAACACCGGUGGCGAAGGCGGCAUCCUGGACCAACACUGACACUGAGGAGCGAAAGCCAGGGGAGCAAACGGG